rnacentral:tRNA from 1 species
UCGGGGGUGGUGUAAUUGGCAACACUGCGGAUUCUGGUUCCGCCUUUGGGGGUUCGAGUCCUCCCCCCCGAG